CCUAUCCAUUUGACAUCUAAAUGUCAUAGCGACUUUUGGGAUAGUUUGCUAUCGGCAAAGGGGGACAGAGUCAGGGGGUGAAGGGGAAGUAGGGCCCAGUAGAGCCUCCAGGACCCUCGGCUGCCUCCUCUCCAGCCCCCUCCCCCAGGCCCGUGAGAAGUUGGGCCCAGCUGGAAGGGAUUGACUCGGCCGCCUCCUCGGCCUCGCCGGCCUCUCCGGAGAUUCCAGGCCCUACAGAGACCAGGACGCCCCGAGCGCCACCACCUCUCGUGCCAGUGCAGCCGGAAAGCCGCCAAUACCCACACUGGGCAAGAGAAUUCUGCACAGGGGGACGAUCGGAGGAGGCCAGGGCCAGGGAGGGACGGGGAGUGGGAGGGGCGCGAACCCACCGAGGCCGGAGCCAGGGGCUUCCUCCCGCCGGCAGCCCUGGCUCGGAGCUCCCCUCCCGAUGCCUUGCAAAAGGCGCUCAGAGAUGGCCUCCGUGGCCCCUUCUGUCCCUCCUCCAUCGUCCUCGCCUGGACGCCCCCUCCAGGAAGCAGCCACCCCUCUCUCCAGCGCCGAAUUUCUUGGGAAGCCUCUCCCAGCAGCGCCCAAAGGUUCCAGGUUGUCGGCAGGCAAGCCCAAGAGCAGGCAGAAAGCUCCCAGGAAGCCCCGGCGGUGGGCGGCAUGGCCAGGCUCACAGCGCAGGAGGGGACGGCCACACCAGCCCGCCCAUACAGCCAUGCUGCCCUUGCUCUCCACCUGCAGAACUGUCUGCAGGUUGCUCAAGGCAAAUAUUCCCAUGCCCUUGCAAGAAAUCUUAUCCUGCCGGGACUUCUGAAGCUGGGGAGAUCUAGCCUGCCGGCUCCUGAAGGCUCUGCUCCUAAGGCAUGUAUGGGGGCUACAGGGAAGGGGAUCCCCAUUUCCUCUCUGGGACCAGGGACUCCAAGCCUCCCUUCUGGCCGCUGAUUGUCUUUGGGGGUGGGCAGCUAU